GGGGCCCGGCACAAGCGGUGGAGCAUGUGGUUAAUUCGAAGCAACGCGAAGAACCUUACCAGGCCUUGACAUGCAGAGAACUUCCAGAGAUGGAUUGGUGCCUUCGGGAACUCUGACACAGGUGCUGCAUGGCUGCGUCAGCUCGUGUCGUGAGAUGUUGGGUUAAGUCCCGUAACGAGCGCAACCCUUGUCCUUAGUUACCAGCACGUUAUGGUGGGCACUCUAAGGAGACUGCCGGUGACAAACCGGAGGAAGGUGGGGAUGACGUCAAGUCAUCAUGGCCCUUACGGCCUGGGCUACACACGUGCUACAAUGGUCGGUACAAAGGGUUGCCAAGCCGCGAGGUGGAGCUAAUCCCAUAAAACCGAUCGUAGUCCGGAUCGCAGUCUGCAACUCGACUGCGUGAAGUCGGAAUCGCUAGUAAUCGUGAAUCAGAAUGUCACGGUGAAUACGUUCCCGGGCCGUU
rnacentral:rRNA from 1 species